CCGACUGAAAAAAAAAACACAGCACAGCGAGAUGGAAAGGCGGCGCCGAGGCGGUUAAAACGGUGCGCACGGCGCCUUCACACAGAACAGCACAGCACAGCCCAGACUGCAUGGUUUUUAAAGCGGUAAGGCGGUCCAAGGCGUUGGAGGACCGCCUGGACGCCUAGGCGAGGUAGGCGGGCAAGGCGCCUAGGCGUUAGACCACCGCCCGGACGCCUAGGCGACGCCUAGGCGACGCCUUAAAAACAGAGCCAGACUGACGAGGAAGGAAAAUCAGAGGAACUGGUGCAAGCAAGCUGUGCGAAUCGCGGAUUGUUAAGAGUGGUGGGGAUUGGCAGAGCAGCACAGGUGCCAUCACCAGGGAGUUUUG
rnacentral:lncRNA from 1 species